rnacentral:rRNA from 1 species
GACGGAGGAUGCAAGUGUUAUCCGGAAUCACUGGGCGUAAAGCGUCUGUAGGUGGUCAAAUAAGUCAACUGUUAAAUCUUGAGGCUCAACCUCAAAAUCGCAGUCGAAACUAUUCGACUAGAGUAUAGUAGGGGUAAAGGGAAUUUCCAGUGGAGCGGUGGAAAUACGUAGAGAUUGGAAAGAACACCGAUGGCGAAGGCACUUUACUGGGCUAUUACUAACACUGAGAGACGAAAGCUAGGGUAGCAAAUGGG